rnacentral:rRNA from 1 species
CCUUGGGUUCGAUUCCGGAGAGGGAGCCCGAGAAACGGCUACCACAUCUAAGGAAGGCAGCAGGCGCGCAAAUUACCCAAUCCCGACACGGGGAGGUAGUGACAAGAAAUAACAAAGCGAGCCUCUAUGAGGUUUUGCUAUUGGAAUGAGUAGAAUUUAAAUCUCUUUACGACUAUCAAUUGGAGGGCAAGUCUGGUGCCAGCAGCCGCGGUAAUUCCAGCUCCAAUAGCGUAUAUUAAAGUUGUUGCGGUUAAAAAGCUCGUAGUUGGAUUUCUGCCGAGCGUCUGCCGGUUCGUACCAUGUACGAUAUCUGGUUUGAUCUUGGCAUCCUCUUGAAGUACGUGUGUGUCCUUAAUUGGGUGUACAUGGAAUUCAAGACUUUUACUUUGAGGAAAUUGGAGUGUUUACGGCAAGCAAAUGCUUUGAACACAUUAGCAUGGAAUAAUAAUAUAGGACCUUGGGGCUAUUUUAUUGGUUUCUAGAACUAAGGUAAUGAUUAAUAGGGUCAGUUGGGGGCAUUCGUAUUAACGUGUCAGAGGUGGAAUUCUUGGAUUACGUUACGACGAACUACUGCGAAAGCAUUUGCCAAGGAUGUUUUCAUUGAUCAAGAACGAAAGUAUGGGGAUCGAAGAUGAUUAGAUACCGUCGUAGUCUAUACCAUAAACUAUGCCAACUAGAGAUGGGAGGUCGGUCUUUUUAUGACUCCUUCUGCACCUUAUGAGAAAUCCAAGUUUUUGGGUUCCGGGGGGAGUAUGGUCGCAAGGCUGAAACUUAAAGGAAUUGACGGAAGGGCACCACCAGGAGUGGAGCCUGCGGCUUAAUUUGA